rnacentral:rRNA from 1 species
GAUGAACGCUGGCGGCGUGCCUAAUACAUGCAAGUCGAGCGAAUGGAUUAAGAGCUUGCUCUUAUGAAGUUAGCGGCGGACGGGUGAGUAACGCGUGGGUAACCUGCCCAUAAGACUGGGAUAACUCCGGGAAACCGGGGCUAAUACCGGAUAACAUUUUGAACCGCAUGGUUCGAAAUUGAAAGGCGGCUUCGGCUGUCACUUAUGGAUGGACCCGCGUCGCAUUAGCUAGUUGGUGAGGUAACGGCUCACCAAGGCAACGAUGCGUAGCCGACCUGAGAGGGUGAUCGGCCACACUGGGACUGAGACACGGCCCAGACGCCUACGGGAGGCAGCAGUAGGGAAUCUUCCGCAAUGGACGAAAGUCUGACGGAGCAACGCCGCGUGAGUGACGAAGGCUUUCGGGUCGUAAAACUCUGUUGUUAGGGAAGAACAAGUGCUAGUUGAAUAAGCUGACACCUUGACGGUACCUAACCAGAAAGCCACGGCUAACUACGUGCCAGCCGCCGCUGUAA